rnacentral:lncRNA from 1 species
GAACCAAAAAUAAUUGAGACACAGUUUUAUAUUGAUUUAUAUUUAUAGAGAAUUAAGUAUUUUUGGAAAAGAAAAACAAAGUGCCACGUUUGUUAGCCGUGCUCUCUUAUCCUUCAAGUUGCAUUUUUUCACCUAAAUUAAAAAAAAAAGUAGAAUAUUAGUUAUACCUCUUUAGGAAAAAUAAAAAUAAAAUAUAUUUAU